AGUGAACGCUGGCGGUAGGCCUAACACAUGCAAGUCGAACGGCAGCACAGUAAGAGCUUGCUCUUACGGGUUGCGAGUGGCGGACGGGUGAGGAAUACAUCGGAAUCUACUUUUUCGUGGGGGAUAACGUAGGGAAACUUACGCUAAUACCGCAUACGACCUACGGGUGAAAGCAGGGGAUCUUCGGACCUUGCGCGAUUGAAUGAGCCGAUGUGGGAUUAGCUAGUUGGCGGGGUAAAGGCCCACCAAGGCGACGAUCCGUAGCUGGUCUGAGAGGAUGAUCAGCGACACUGGAACUGAGACACGGUCCAGGCUCCUACGGGAGGCAGCAGUGGGGAAUAUUGGACAAAGGGCGCAAGCAUGGUCCAGCCAUACCGCGUGGGUGAAGAAGGCCUUCGGGUUGUAAAGCCCUUUUGUUGGGAAAGAAAAGCAGCAGGUUAAUACCCCGCUGUUCUGACGGUACCCAAAGAAUAAGCACCGGCUAACUUCGUG
rnacentral:rRNA from 1 species